CCUUGGCAAGGUUUCCAUGGAUCUCAAUAGUGCCAGCACUGUUGUUCUUCAGGUCUUAACACAGGCCACCAGUCAGGAUACUACUGUGUUAAAACCAGCUGAGGAGCAGUUGAAACAGUGGGAGACCCAGCCUGGUUUCUAUUCAGUGUUGUUGAAUAUUUUCACAAACCACACACUGGAUAUAAAUGUAAGGUGGCUUGCUAUUCUGUAUUUUAAAAAUGGAAUUGAUCGCUACUGGAGACGUGUAGCACCCCAUGCUCUCUCAGAGGAGGAGAAAACUACUUUGCGUGCAAGGCUCAUCACCAACUUCAAUGAACCAAUAAACCAGAUUGCAACUCAAAUUGCAGUGCUGAUCGCAAAAGUUGCUAGGUUGGAUUGUCCCAGACAGUGGCCUGAACUGAUUCCCACUCUUAUAGAGUCUGUUAAAGUCCAGGAUGAUCUUCGACAGCACAGAGCAUUACUUACCUUCUAUCAUGUUACCAAGACACUGGCAUCUAAACGACUCGCUGCUGAUAGAAAAUUAUUUUAUGAUUUAGCUUCUGGAAUUUAUACUUUUGCCUGCUCUUUGUGGAAUCACCAUACAGACACAUUCCUCCAACAAGUUUCUUCUGGCAAUGAAGCUGCAGUUCUAAGUGCACUAGAACGAACUCUACUAUCCUUGAAAGUGCUGCGUAAGUUAACUGUUAAUGGAUUUGUGGAACCUCAUAAGAAUAUAGAGGUGAUGGGUUUUUUACAUGGAAUAUUUGAACGUCUUAAACAGUUUCUGGAAUGCAGUAGAAAUAUAGGUACAGAUAAUAUGUGUAGAGAUAGACUGGAAAAGACCAUCAUUCUUUUUACUAAAGUGCUGUUGGACUUCUUGGAUCAGCAUCCCUUUUCAUUUAAACCUCUAAUUCAGAGAUCACUGGAAUUUUCUGUAAGCUAUGUUUUUACGGAAAUUGGUGAAGGCGUUACAUUUGAACGAUUCAUUGUCCAGUGCAUGAAUCUUAUUAAGAUGAUUGUCAAAAAUUAUGCUUAUAAGCCAUCCAAAAAUUUUGAAGAUAGCAGUCCUGAAACUCUUGAAGCCCAUAAGAUUAAGAUGGCAUUCUUCACAUAUCCCACUUUGACAGAGAUAUGUAGAAGAUUAGUCUCUCAUUAUUUUCUAUUAACUGAAGAAGAACUGACAAUGUGGGAAGAAGACCCAGAAGGCUUUACAGUGGAAGAAACAGGAGGAGAUUCUUGGAAAUAUAGUUUGAGGCCAUGCACUGAAGUCCUUUUUAUAGAUAUAUUCCAUGAAUAUAAUCAGACUCUUACUCCUGUACUUCUAGAAAUGAUGCAAACACUUCAGGGGCCCACAAAUGUGGAAGAUAUGAAUGCACUGUUAAUUAAAGAUGCUGUGUAAAAUGCUGUUGGAUUAGCUGCUUAUGAACUGUU